UACGAAGGGGGCUAGCGUUGUUCGGAUUUACUGGGCGUAAAGCGCACGUAGGCGGAUCGUUAAGUCAGGGGUGAAAUCCUGGAGCUCAACUCCAGAACUGCCUUUGAUACUGGCGAUCUUGAGUCCGGAAGAGGUGAGUGGAACUCCUAGUGUAGAGGUGGAAUUCGUAGAUAUUAGGAAGAACACCAGUGGCGAAGGCGGCUCACUGGUCCGGUACUGACGCUCAUGCACGAAAGCGUGGGGAGCAAACAGG
rnacentral:rRNA from 1 species